rnacentral:rRNA from 1 species
UGAGGAAUAUUGGUCAAUGGGCGUGAGCCUGAACCAGCCAAGUAGCGUGCAGGAUGACGGCCCUAUGGGUUGUAAACUGCUUUUAUAUGGGAAUAAAGUGAGGGACGUGUCCCUUAUUGCAUGUACCAUAUGAAUAAGGACCGGCUAAUUCCGUGCCAGCAGCCGCGGUAAUACGGAAGGUCCAGGCGUUAUCCGGAUUUAUUGGGUUUAAAGGGAGCGUAGGCUGUUUGUUAAGCGUGUUGUGAAAUGUAAGGGCUCAACUUUUAGAUUGCAGCGCGAACUGGCAGACUUGAGUGCGCACAACGUAGGCGGAAUUCAUGGUGUAGCGGUGAAAUGCUUAGAUAUCAUGACGGACUCCGAUUGCGAAGGCAGCUUACGGGAGCGCAACUGACGCUAAAGCUCGAAGGUGCGGGUAUCGAACAGG